GGAUCCUACGGGAGGCAGCAGUGGGGAAUAUUGGACAAUGGGCGCAAGCCUGAUCCAGCCAUGCCGCGUGAGUGAUGAAGGCCCUAGGGUUGUAAAGCUCUUUCACCGGUGAAGAUAAUGACGGUACCGAGAAGAGCC
rnacentral:rRNA from 1 species